rnacentral:lncRNA from 1 species
UUGCUGUUACUUAUUUAAACAAACCCCAGAUAACUAUCAAUCCAUAGCAGAUGUAUAAGUCCAGUAGAGACUAUGGGAAGAAAGGAGAAAUACAAGACGACUAAUCAAGAUGAUGGGAGACAUAUAUCCAAAAAGAAUAACAAAGAAUUCGGAUCAUGGCCACAUGAAGAGGAAAUGGAUCUCAUUUUUGAACAAGAUAUACACAACAGAGCCAUUGCACAGAGCCAAAGAAAACCCAAUCCAGGAUGGAUUGAUGCACUUCUAGGCAAAUACAAAGGUCUUGAACCUAGUGUGAAGACUCGAGGUUACUGUGUUUAACAUGUUGUUAAUACAUAGGCUUUCCUUGUGUCCACACUCAUUCUGAAGAUACUCACAGACAAGUAUCCCCGAAACCUUGGCUCCUAUAAUCUGGUCCCCUUUUCUGCCUUUCAUAGUGUGGUAACUUUCUGUAGUCCUGGCUACUGACUAGGUAAAUGCAUCAUUGCUUAGAUUAUUUUGAUUGGGCCCUGAUUCAAGGACCUGUUAAGAUUUUUUUUUCACUUGGAAUUUUUACACAUAAAAUUUUGCUAGUCUAUAUUUUCAUCCAGGGUUUUUUCUUUUUUUCUUUGGAUUUUUCUGAUAUCUUUUUAAUAUCUCUUGCCAAUUGAUUCAUAUACCUCAUACCUCAGCCAUGCAUCCCUAAGUGAUCCUGCUUUUUUUAAUCAGCCUCUUAAUGGGGGGAAUGUAAAAAAUAUCAUUAUUUAAAUUGCAAAGUUUAAAUUCCUUUUUGAGAAGAAUUUUAGGUAAAAAAGAAGCUACCUCUCUGAAUCCAGAACUGAACUGUUGGAGAAGCUAUCAUGAAGAAGCCUCCAGACCACAAACUGCACAAAAAUGAACUUUGGGUAUAGUUGAUUGAACAUUUAUUUGUAUGUAUACUUUCAUGCCAAAGGGGACUGCCCCCUAACUGGCUUUCCGUCAAUGUGUCCAGCAAUUAUUGGUUUUGUUCUUUUUUUCUCUUAUCCUCAAAUUAUUAUAAUCUUUAAAUUGAUUAUGUUUUUAUGAUCCUUUGGGGAAGGACUUCUUCCCAGAGGAUCAAAUGGGGGGGGGGAGAGAUGUAAAAUUGAGAUUUGAACUCUGGACUCCAUUCCCCAAGAGUCCUUGCUAGCUCCCAGAAUGCCCUUUAAUCUCACUGAAUUCUCAGGUGGGCUGAGAUCAAGAAGGGAUUUAACCUGAUUGCAAAGGCUUUUGUGCUCUCUUUUGGACUUCUGUUUUGGAGCAGACGCGGCUCUUCCAUGCUGUGAGAUUAUCUUGUCUAGGCCUCUCUGGCCUAGGCACAUUUUUCUUAUCCUGUAUUUUCUUUAAUCCUUAACUUUAAUAAAUCUCAUAAAAUAUAAUACUCCUUGCA